CAGAAAGAAGAAAACAAAAUAAAAAAUCCUGUACAUGCAAGUUACCACUGGCAAUUGUGUGGCACAAGUAAAAAAAAAAAACAAAAACAAAAAAAUAAAAACAAUAAAUUUUCUUAUAGCUCUAAGAAAAACUGCUCAUUUCCCCAAGCUGUCUGUACAAAAAUCUUCAUAAAUUAGAACUUUUUCAUAUAACUUAAUGACUGUUCAACAUGGUGGUAACUUAUAUGAGCAAUUUUUAAUUGAUGCACCUCUGCAACUCUUGAGUCAGAUACUAUGGCACUUGGUUCAGACACCACUAGCAGCAUAAACCUGACAAGACAGUAUUACUUCUCAGUCAAGUAUAAUCAUCACGACGGUCCUUUACUUUUGUUGCACACCCCAGCUAACUACAGAGGAAAUGCUGCUGCAAGUUUGUCUAGAGUCCAAGACAAAGCAACAAACUUGAAUUGUUUCAAGGAGCACAGAUCCAAUGAAUACAACACCUUGUUGUCCCUGUUGGUCUUAAACGUCUCAGGAUCAGCCUCUGAACUGUGAACAUGAGUAGAAACAUGUUGUCGCCCUCCCACCCUAAUGAUUACAAUAACACAUCAUUAAAAAAAAAAAAAAAAAAAAAAGGUCUGAAAAUCAAAAAGUAUUCAAAACAACCUAUGCGAAACAGCUGUAUGUGGCCAGCUCCUGAGCGUGGCAUUUGGUCUGGAAGGGCGGGCUGGACCUGCUAACCCGACCAAGUACAGAGGAGAAAGAAAACUCUGAGGUAGAUAACUAGUCUGACUGACUGCCAGGUCAAAUCACAGGCUUACUGGAGAACAUCAUGACCAAACAAGCCUGCUUUAAUCCACUAUGAUCCAAAAAAAAAAUACAUCACUUAUUUCUUCUUUUAGUGCUAUAUCAUAUCAGACUGCUAGUGUAGCACUCUUUCAUAGUUUACCUGUUUUUUCUUUUUAACUUAUUCUUUACUUAAUCUCUAAGUAUGAAAUUCAUCUGUGGCACUUGUUGGAUCCAGGCCUUCCUUCAUGCUUGUGUGUGUCCAUACUGUACUAAUACAUACAAGAGACAAAUGAAUGCAAAUAUACAAAAAAGGCACACUGACCAAACUGCAAUGUAGCUUUGCAGAGUCACUUAUGUCCUGGUUAAAGAGACAAAUGAUGCUAUUUCCUCAGCGUACUAACUCACAAUCUUUGGUGAAGUAAACUACAACUGAAAGUGCCAAGUUUGUUUGUUUCCUAUCAAAGAGCGAGGUGCAAUAAAAUACACAGUUUCAUCUCAUUUCACCCCCAAGUUCUGUUACAAGGCUUUGAUGAGUUCUUUCGCACAAUCAUAAGUCUAUGUUAUCCCGUUUUUUUUUUUUUUCAAAUAAAAGUGAAAAAGACACACCCCAUCAAAAUAACAAUUAACAUCACCCAAAAAGACAAAAACACGACCGACAAAUAAAAUACAUUUGCCCCUUCUCAUUUCCCCACCCCAUCAACUUCAAUUACAGCUAUUCUACAAUACCAAGUAAGCAAAAAGGCAAGAUUCAAAAGGUGAUCUUUCAGCAGAUUUCUAACACAUUCCAAUAUCUAGAAACAUUGGUUUCAUUCAAAAUUUCUUCUACUUUUCUACCAGUUUUUGGAGGGGAAAAGCAAUAACACAUAAAUGUCAAUUUUAUU